rnacentral:rRNA from 1 species
AACGAACGCUGGCGGCAUGCCUAACACAUGCAAGUCGAACGAGACCUUCGGGUCUAGUGGCGCACGGGUGCGUAACGCGUGGGAACCUGCCCUUAGGUUCGGAAUAACUCCCCGAAAGGGGUGCUAAUACCGGAUAAUGUCUUCGGACCAAAGAUUUAUCGCCUUUGGAUGGGCCCGCGUUGGAUUAGCUAGUUGGUAGGGUAAAAGCCUACCAAGGCGACGAUCCAUAGCUGGUCUGAGAGGAUGAUCAGCCACACUGGGACUGAGACACGGCCCAGACUCCUACGGGAGGCAGCAGUGGGGAAUAUUUGACAAUGGGCGAAAGGCUGAUCCAGCAAUGCCGCGUGAGUGAUGAAGGCCUUAGGGUUGUAAAGCUCUUUUACCCGAGAUGAUAAUGACAGUACCGGGAGAAUAAGCUCCGGCUAACUCCGUG